rnacentral:rRNA from 1 species
GACGAACGCUGGCGGCGUGCUAAACACAUGCAAGUCGAGCGAGGCCCCUUCUUCGGGAGGGUGUCCUAGCGGCGAACGGGUGAGUAACACGUGGGCAACCUGCCCCCGGCUCUGGGAUAACUCCAAGAAAUUGGGGCUAAUACCGGAUAUGACCGCUGACCGCAUGGUCUGGUGGUGGAAAGAUUUAUCGGCUGGGGAUGGGCCCGCGGCCUAUCAGCUUGUUGGUGGGGUAGUGGCCUACCAAGGCGACGACGGGUAGCCGGCCUGAGAGGGUGACCGGCCACACUGGGACUGAGACACGGCCCAGACUCCUACGGGAGGCAGCGGUGGGGAAUAUUGCGCAAUGGGCGAAAGCCUGACGCAGCGACGCCGCGUGGGGGAUGACGGCCUUCGGGUUGUAAACCUCUUUCAGGAGGGACGAAGCCACUCGGGUGAAUAGCCCAGAGGGUGACGGUACCUCCAGAAGAAGCCCCGGCUAAC